rnacentral:rRNA from 2 species
UUCCCUUGAGGAGUGGCUUCCGGAGCUAACGCGUUAAGUCGACCGCCUGGGGAGUACGGCCGCAAGGUUAAAACUCAAAUGAAUUGACGGGGGCCCGCACAAGCGGUGGAGCAUGUGGUUUAAUUCGAUGCAACGCGAAGAACCUUACCUACUCUUGACAUCCAGGGAAUUUGGCAGAGAUGCUUUAGUGCCUUCGGGAACUGUGAGACAGGUGCUGCAUGGCUGUCGUCAGCUCGUGUUGUGAAAUGUUGGGUUAAGUCCCGCAACGAGCGCAACCCUUAUCCUUUGUUGCCAGCGAUUCGGUCGGGAACUCAAAGGAGACUGCCGGUGAUAAACCGGAGGAAGGUGGGGAUGACGUCAAGUCAUCAUGGCCCUUACGAGUAGGGCUACACACGUGCUACAAUGGCGCAUACAAAGAGAAGCGACCUCGCGAGAGCAAGCGGACCUCAUAAAGUGCGUCGUAGUCCGGAUCGGAGUCUGCAACUCGACUCCGUGAAGUCGGAAUCGCUAGUAAUCGUGGAUCAGAAUGCCACGGUGAAUACGUUCCCGGGCCUUGUACACACCGCCCGUCACACCAUGGGAGUGGGUU